AUGCCGGCCCCGGCCCCUAUGAUGGCCGUACUUGAUGCAGAUGAUGGGCACCAAACAACAGGAGUCGCAGCAGCACAAGUGUCACAGGCAGUACUGGAUAUGAUAUGGGCUCUCUCUCUGUCUGUCUCUCUGCCUGUCUUGGAGGAGAGAGAGGGGAGAGGAGGAGCGAGGAAGACGAGGGAGAGAGGAGGAGGUGUGUGCGAUGGUCAUGGCAAGAUAAAGGCAGCCGCAGCGGCUGGAGAACUUUCUCUUUUGGUGAUAGUCUUUGAAAGGGAUUGGUCUGGUGAUUGGACCAGUACGCCAUGA
rnacentral:rRNA from 1 species